CCUACGGGCGGCAGCAGUGAGGAAUAUUGGUCAAUGGGCGUAAGCCUGAACCAGCCAAGUCGCGUGAGGGAUGAAGGUUCUAUGGAUCGUAAACCUCUUUUAUAAGGGAAUAAAGUGUGGGACGUGUCCUGUUUUGUAUGUACCUUAUGAAUAAGGAUCGGCUAACUCCGUGCCAGCAGCCGCGGUAAUACGGAGGAUCCGAGCGUUAUCCGGAUUUAUUGGGUUUAAAGGGUGCGUAGGCGGCCUUUUAAGUCAGCGGUGAAAGUCUGUGGCUCAACCAUAGAAUUGCCGUUGAAACUGGGAGGCUUGAGUAUGUGGAGGGCAGGCGGAAUGCGUGGUGUAGCGGUGAAAUGCUUAGAUAUCACGCAGAACCCCGAUUGCGAAGGCAGCCUGCCAAGCCAUGACUGACGCUGAUGCACGAAAGCGUGGGGAUCAAACAGGAUUAGAUAACCCUGUAGUC
rnacentral:rRNA from 1 species